UUAAUUGAAACCAAAUUAGAGGUAUAUCACUGUUAAUGAUAUUAUUGAAUUAAAAAUUCCAAUUAAA
rnacentral:tRNA from 1 species